rnacentral:rRNA from 1 species
CGAGCGAAGCGGGAAAAGCUCAAAUUUGUAAUCUGGCGCCUUCGGCGUCCGAGUUGUAAUCUCGAGAAAUGUUUUCCGUGUUAGACCGCAUACAAGUCUCUUGGAACAGAGCGUCAUAGUGGUGAGAACCCAGUACACGAUGCGGAUGCCUAAUACUUUGUGAUACAUUUUCGAAGAGUCGAGUUGUUUGGGAAUGCAGCUCAAAUUGGGUGGUAAAUUCCAUCUAAAGCUAAAUAUUGGCGAGAGACCGAUAGCGAACAAGUACCGUGAGGGAAAGAUGAAAAGCACUUUGGAAAGAGAGUUAACAGUACGUGAAAUUGUUGGAAGGGAAACACAUGCAGUCAGACUUGCUAUUCGGGGCAACUCGAUUGGCAGGCCCGCAUCAGUUUUUCGGGGCGGAAAAGCAUAGAGAGAAGGUAGCAGUUUCGGCUGUGUUAUAGCUCUUUAUUGGAUUCGCCCUGGGGGACUGAGGAACGCAGCGUGCUUUUAGCAUGAGCUUCGGCUUAUCCACGCUUAGGAUGCGGGUGCAAUGGCUGUAUAUGACCCGUCUU